rnacentral:rRNA from 1 species
AAGGAUAGAGGUAGUAACUGGCCUUUAUUUGACGGUAAUCAACCAGAAAGUCACGGCUAACUACGUGCCAGCAGCCGCGGUAAUACGUAGGUGGCAAGCGUUGUCCGGAUUUAUUGGGCGUAAAGCGAGCGCAGGCGGAAGAAUAAGUCUGAUGUGAAAGCCCUCGGCUUAACCGAGGAAUUGCAUCGGAAACUGUUUUUCUUGAGUGCAGAAGAGGAGAGUGGAACUCCAUGUGUAGCGGUGGAAUGCGUAGAUAUAUGGAAGAACACCAGUGGCGAAGGCGGCUCUCUGGUCUGCAACUGACGCUGAGGCUCGAAAGCAUGGGUAGCGAACAGGAUUAGAUACCCUGGUAGUCCAUGCCGUAAACGAUGAGUGCUAAGUGUUGGGAGGUUUCCGCCUCUCAGUGCUGCAGCUAACGCAUUAAGCACUCCGCCUGGGGAGUACGACCGCAAGGUUGAAACUCAAAGGAAUUGACGGGGGCCCGCACAAGCGGUGGAGCAUGUGGUUUAAUUCGAAGCAACGCGAAGAACCUUACCAGGUCUUGACAUCUAGUGCCAUCCUAAGAGAUUAGGAGUUCCCUUCGGGGACGCUAAGACAGGUGGUGCAUGGCUGUCGUCAGCUCGUGUCGUGAGAUGUUGGGUUAAGUCCCGCAACGAGCGCAACCCUUAUUAUUAGUUGCCAGCAUUAAGUUGGGCACUCUAAUGAGACUGCCGGUGACAAACCGGAGGAAGGUGGGGAUGACGUCAAGUCAUCAUGCCCCUUAUGACCUGGGCUACACACGUGCUACAAUGGGCAGUACAACGAGAAGCGAGCCUGCGAAGGCAAGCGAAUCUCUGAAAGCUGUUCUCAGUUCGGACUGCAGUCUGCAACUCGACUGCACGAAGCUGGAAUCGCUAGUAAUCGCGGAUCAGAACGCCGCGGUGAAUACGUUCCCGGGCCUUGUACACACCGCCCGUCACACCAUGGAAGUCUGCAAUGCCCAAAGCCG